rnacentral:rRNA from 1 species
UACGUAGGGUGCAAGCGUUAAUCGGAAUUACUGGGCGUAAAGCGUGCGCAGGCGGUUCUAUAAGACAGAUGUGAAAUCCCUCGGCUCAACCGGGGAACUGCGUCUGAUACUGGGUGGCUUGAAUCCGGGAGAGGGAUGCGGAAUUCCAGGUGUAGCGGUGAAAUGCGUAGAUAUCUGGAGGAACACCGGUGGCGAAGGCGGCAUCCUGGACCGGCAUUGACGCUGAGGCGCGAAAGCCAGGGGAGCAAACGGG